GAUGAACGCUGGCGGCGUGCUUAACACAUGCAAGUCGAACGGUGAAGCAGGAGCUUGCUCUUGUGGAUCAGUGGCGAACGGGUGAGUAACACGUGAGCAACCUGCCCCUGACUCUGGGAUAAGCGCUGGAAACGGCGUCUAAUACUGGAUAUGUGAUGUGACCGCAUGGUCUGCAUCUGGAAAGAAUUUCGGUUGGGGAUGGGCUCGCGGCCUAUCAGCUUGUUGGUGAGGUAAUGGCUCACCAAGGCGUCGACGGGUAGCCGGCCUGAGAGGGUGACCGGCGACACUGGGACUGAGCAACGGCCCAGACUCCUACGGGAGGCAGCAGUGGGGAAUAUGGCACAAUGGGCGGAAGCCUGAUGCAGCAACGCCGCGUGAGGGAUGACGGCCUUCGGGUUGUAAACCUCUUUUAGCAGGGAAGAAGCGAAAGUGACGGUACCUGCAGAAAAAGCACCGGCUAACUACGUGCCAGCCGCCGCCGUAA
rnacentral:rRNA from 1 species